GCCACUGCUAUUGGGGUUCGGCUAAGCCAUGCGAGUGGAGGGCGUCCCGCAAGGGAUGGCCCCGCAGACGGCUCAGUAACACGUCGUCAACCCACCUUAGGGUUGGGGACAACCUCGGGAAACUGAGGAUAAUCCCCCAUAGGCGGGGGAGGCUGGAAUGCGCCCCCGCUGAAAGCUCAGGCGCCCUAGGACGGGACGGCGGCCUAUCAGGUAGUUGGUGGUGUGACG
rnacentral:rRNA from 1 species